UCUUAUUAGUGUUGAUCAGUUGUGUGAAAUUCAUGGAGUUCCAAUUGGACCUGGAUUUUGCAAAGUUUUUGUUUUAAAAGCGAACAAGCCGAACGCUGUUUUGGAAACAACUUCCCGAUGUCUAAGAACAGAUGGAGAAGCUGUGGGAAGAUACAUUGUGUGGCGCUCGAUUCAUGUGCAACCCUUUUGAAUGCAAACCUUUUGAGUACGUGAUAUCUUCGCAUAUCGAUAUGGGAGCUUACUAUUGAUAUCAAAACAAGCUACAUUAUAUCUGUUUUUAUUUUUUUAUUUCUAUUGUCGAUACUAAAAAUUUGAGUUCUUCAAUUUCAAAAAUUAUUAGUAUUGUUAGAAGUUAUUUUAUAUAUUUUUGUAAAUAAUAUUUGAUUGACAAU